UACGUAGGGUGCAAGCGUUAAUCGGAAUUACUGGGCGUAAAGCGUGCGCAGGCGGUUGUGCAAGACAGAUGUGAAAUCCCCGGGCUUAACCUAGGGAACUGCAUUUGUGACUGCAUAGCUAGAGUACGGUAGAGGGGGAUGGAAUUCCGCGUGUAGCAGUGAAAUGCGUAGAUAUGCGGAGGAACACCGAUGGCGAAGGCAAUCCCCUGGACCUGUACUGACGCUCAUGCACGAAAGCGUGGGGAGCAAACAGG
rnacentral:rRNA from 1 species